rnacentral:rRNA from 1 species
AUUGAACGCUGGCGGCAGGCUUAACACAUGCAAGUCGAGCGGGGUGAUGGUGCUUGCACUAUCACUUAGCGGCGGACGGGUGAGUAAUGCUUAGGAAUCUGCCUAUUAGUGGGGGACAACAUCUCGAAGGGGAUGCUAAUACCGCAUACGUCCUACGGGAGAAAGCAGGGGAUCACUUGUGACCUUGCGCUAAUAGAUGAGCCUAAGUCGGAUUAGCUAGUUGGUGGGGUAAAGGCCUACCAAGGCGACGAUCUGUAGCGGGUCUGAGAGGAUGUUCCGCCACACUGGGACUGAGACACGGCCCAGACUCCUACGGGAGGCAGCAGUGGGGAAUAUUGGACAAUGGGGGGAACCCUGAUCCAGCCAUGCCGCGUGUGUGAAGAAGGCCUUAUGGUUGUAAAGCACUUUAAGCGAGGAGGAGGCUCUUUUGGUUAAUACCCAAGAUGAGUGGACGUUACUCGCAGAAUAAGCACCGGCUAACUCUGUGCCAGCAGCCGCCGUAA